rnacentral:ncRNA from 3 species
GAUCCUUCGAUGUCGGCUCUU